rnacentral:rRNA from 1 species
CAGGGAUUGCCCUAGUAACGGCGAGUGAAGCGGCAACAGCUCAAAUUUGAAAUCUGGCCUCCCUUGGGGGUCCGAGUUGUAAUUUGCAGAGGGUGCUUUGGCGUCGGCAGCGGUCUAAGUUCCUUGGAACAGGACAUCACAGAGGGUGAGAAUCCCGUACGUGGUCGCCUGCCUUCGCCGUGUAAAGCCCCUUCGACGAGUCGAGUUGUUUGGGAAUGCAGCUCUAAAUGGGAGGUAAAUUUCUUCUAAAGCUAAAUACCGGCCAGAGACCGAUAGCGCACAAGUAGAGUGAUCGAAAGAUGAAAAGCACUUUGGAAAGAGAGUCAAACAGCACGUGAAAUUGUUGAAAGGGAAGCGCUUGCAGCCAGACUUGCUCGUAGUUGCUCAUCCGGGUCCGCCCGGAGCACUCUUCUGCGAGCAGGCCAGCAUCAGUUUGGGCGACCGGAUAAAGGCCUCUGUCAUGUACCUUCCCUCGGGAAGGCCUUAUAGGGGAGGCGUAAUGCGGCCAGCCCGGACUGAGGUCCGCGCAUCUGCUAGGAUGCUGGCGUAAUGGCUGUAAGCGGCCCGUCUUGAAACACGGACCAAGGAGUCUAACAUCUAUGCGAGUGUUUGGGUGUCAAGCCCGGGCGCGUAAUGAAAGUGAACGGAGGUGGGAACCCUCUCCGGGGGGUGCACCAUCGACCGAUCCUGAUGUCUUCGGAUGGAUUUGAGUAAGAGCAUAGCUGUUGGGACCCGAAAGAUGGUGAACUAUGCUUGAAUAGGGUGAAGCCAGAGGAAACUCUGGUGGAGGCUCGCAGCGGUUCUGACGUGCAAAUCGAUCGUCAAAUUUGGGCAUAGGGGCGAAAGACUAAUC